UCGCCACUCAUGAAUGCUUGUUUAAUAGUUGAAACUUUGAUGUAUUAGGGUUUGUUCAACCGAAAUAUUGUAUCAGAUCUCAAUUUUGUUGUUCAUAUAAGAAUUUGUGGUUUUGCUUUUUGAAUUUUUGUUUUGCAAGUCAUUGGCUUAUUUAUUAUCCAUGGUAAAUUUGUUGAAAAUUUAAUAGUAUUUAAUUAACUGUUAAUUUUAUUUUACUUGUUUAAUUGAUUGAUCUUGCUUGAUGGACUUGACUACAUACCAUAGUUGUAGUAGACAUCAGUCUUUCUCAAAUGCUUAUGUUAAUCUCGCUCCAUUCCGCAUCAAUUAUAGUUAAAUUUUGUGGCAUAACAUGAUUCAAAUUGAAUUUGCCUUUUGUUUCCUUUACUUUCAAGAAUUUUAUUCUUGAUUUUUGUUUUUGAUUUCCUCAAUGGUUGUGCUUUGAAACCUAUAUAUGCCAUUGAGAGGAGUUUUUUUUCCUGCUUUAAAUUUUUUUUUUUUUUUGAUACUUUCAAUCAUUCUUUAAUGUUGUCCUAUCAAGUUAUGUGUGGUUUGUUGCUCUGCUCUGAGAAGUUAAAACUGUUUUCUGAUCAAGGAGUUAUUUCCCUAAAAAUGUUUCAAUCAGAAUAUUUUUCAUGCUUUUAAAUGAAUAAGAUUGUAUUUUUUUUUUUGUUAGAUGGUGAAAUAAGAUUGUAUUGAAGUCUGCUUUUUCAAUCAAAUAAGAGUAGUGUUGGGAAAUGAAUAAAUGAAAAUACAAAUCAAAAUAGCUCAGGGACGAAAAUUAUAUAUCUCCAGGAUGGGAUCAGCAGUAUCUAUUAAUUUAUCGUACUGUGAAACUAAUUGGAUGUCUUAAAAUUUUGUUUUUUUGGUUUCUUUGUUUUCAUCCCAUCUUUUUCGUUGUUGGGCUUGUACUCUUUUGCAGUUGAGUUAUCUAUUUGCUACAAGGGAAACAACUAGGCUGAAAAGAAUCUUAGUCUAAAGGAACAUAGAAAUUGCAUGAUGAACUGAUAGAGGAUAAGAUCGUAGUUAGCUUUUUCUGUAUCCAGUUAUCAUGGAUGUUCUUAGAACUGGUACUUCACAGUGUCAAUGCAGAUUUGUACAAGGUGCUUGUGAAGGAGCUUGCUCAGACUCUGGAGAGACAGUUCGCCGGAAAUGCAGAAUCUCGAGCUGCAGGCAUGGUAAUAAAUACCAUGGGAUGGAUAGAGGGUGUUGGUUAUGAGUUGCUUCUUCAUGCAUUGGGUCAGGAGAAACUUUGCAGCAUGCUGAAAGAUGUAUUGAAAAGCAAGCCAAAUGUUGAUGUUGUGAAACUUCAAAAAUCAGAUGGUGUUGUAUCGAGGAAUGCAAAAGUUCGUCAAAAGGCCAGGAGCUACAGAAUAAGGUUUCAGUGAUUUGUGAGUCUAUAGAAUUGGUGGUGGACCACAGGCCCCGCGUUCAGCCCUGCCAAUUGGCGCAGAGCCUGCUGGCCAACCCUACACGAUUGGUUCUUGUGAAUAUCAACCGGGAUUUGCUCCAUUUGGUUCUUGCUAUUUCAUUUGCCAAAGAACCAGACGAAAUUAUUUCAAGUAAUGUCGCGGGGUUCAUCUGUAUCACAGACAUAGAUAUUCAGAGGAAGAAAAUUACAUACCUUGCACCAUCGGCUGGGGAACUCCCGAGCAGAUUCUUGAUCAUGGGAACUUUUACAUGGCUUGAAACCUAAAUUGCCCAACUAACUGCAUUUCUCAUUUUCCUCAAAUCGUUUAGUGUUAAUCUUAUCGCUGAUUUGUGUAUGUGUAAUGCUUGUACUGACACUGCAAGGGAUUUUAAGAGGUGAAACCCAUUUAUUCUGCUGAGAGGAUUAUUUUGCAUAUGAUUCACUGUAAUGUGUACAUUCACAGAUAGCUAGCUGAUAACAUGGUUGAUGCUUGCAAUUUUUUAUUUAUUUAUUUUUUGUACA